GACGAACGCUGGCGGCGUGCUUAACACAUGCAAGUCGAGCGGAGCGGCGAACGGGUGAGUAACGCGUGAGUAACUGCCCCCCUCUCUGGGUUAACAGUUGGAAACGGCUGCUAAUACCGGAUAGUGGGGGAUGACUCGCGUCCUAUCGGCUUGUUGGUGGGGUAGUGGCCUGCCACGGCGAGGCCGGGUAGCCGGCCUGGGAGGGCGACCGGCCACAUUGGGCUGAGAGACGGCCCAAGCUCCUACGGGGGGCAGCAGUGGGGAGUAUGACACAAUGGUGGAGCCCCUGAUGCAGCGACGCCGCGUGCGGGAUGACGGCCUUCGGGUUGUAAACCGCUUUCAGCAAUGACGCGGUAGUGGCAGAAGAAGCACCGGCUAACUACGUGCCAGCAGCCGCGGUAAUUC
rnacentral:rRNA from 1 species